CAUCUCUAGCAUGUCUCCCUGACUUUCAGCCCUUGCUGCAGCAAUUUCUGCCCUCAGAUCCUCCUGAAUGGCCGGGUGCUUAGCCAGUUCAUACAAGGUCCACAGCAGCGUUAUAGAUGUCUGAGAAAUACAAGCACACCAUUAGCUCCGUGACACUAGCCUUGAUGUCUUCAGUGGACAGCUUGUCCAGCAUGAGAAGACUAGCCAGGACUCCUGGGUAUUUCUUCACCACGCCCGUAUCCUGACGUAACUGCCUGUAGAUGUUUUGGAUACAACGGUCCGCUGACGAAACCAAAAGGCGUAACAUUAAAAAAAAGAACUUCUCCAGAGUGAGACUGAAGACGUAGGUGUGUGGUGCUCUACCCUGCUGAGAAAGUGAAUUGCCAGUGUGGUUCAAAAAAUGCAUGGCCAGCUGCUGAAUUGGCCCAGCGAGACCCUCCAUUCCAGGCACAGAUGGAGGCAUGAUGAAGGAUCCAG